AUUUUGAUCCUGGCUCAGGAUGAACGCUGACAGAAUGCUUAACACAUGCAAGUCGAUUCGAUUUACCUUCGGGUAUUGAGGAUGGCGGACGGGUGAGUAACGCGUAAGGAACUUGCCUCUUGGUCUGGGACAACUGUUGGAAACGACAGCUAAUACCGGAUAUUAUGAGAUUCUCGCAUGGGAAACUUAUGAAAGCUAUAUGCGCCAAGAGAGAGCCUUGCGUUCCAUUAGCUAGUUGGUGGGGUAAUGGCCCACCAAGGCGACGAUGGAUAGCCGGCCUGAGAGGGUGAACGGCCACAAGGGGACUGAGACACGGCCCUUACUCCUACGGGAGGCAGCAGUGGGGGAUAUUGGACAAUGGGCCACGAGCCUGAUCCAGCAAUUCUGUGUGCACGAUGAAGGUCUUCGGAUUGUAAAGUGCUUUCAGUUGGGAAGAAGAAAGUGACGGUACCAACAGAAGAAGCGACGGCUAAAUACGUGCCAGCAGCCGCGGUAAUACGUAUGUCGCAAGCGUUAUCCGGAUUUAUUGGGCGUAAAGCGCGUCUAGGCGGAAAAAUAAGUCUGAUGUUAAAAUGCGGGGCUCAACUCCGUAUUGCGUUGGAAACUGUUUUUCUAGAGUACUGGAGAGGUGGGCGGAACUACAAGUGUAGAGGUGAAAUUCGUAGAUAUUUGUAGGAAUGCCGAUGGAGAAGUCAGCUCACUGGACAGAUACUGACGCUAAAGCGCGAAAGCGUGGGGAGCAAACAGGAUUAGAUACCCUGGUAGUUCACGCCGUAAACGAUGAUCACUAGGUGUUGGAGGUCGAACCUCAGCGCCCAAGCUAACGCGAUAAGUGAUCCGCCUGGGGAGUACGCACGCAAGUGUGAAACUCAAAGGAAUUGACGGGGACCCGCACAAGCGGUGGAGCAUGUGGUUUAAUUCGACGCAACGCGAGAAACCUUACCAGCGUUUGACAUCCUAAGAAGUUUCCAGAGAUGGAUUCGUGCCGGCUGCCGGAACUUAGUGACAGGUGGUGCAUGGCUGUCGUCAGCUCGUGUUGUGAAAUGUUGGGUUAAGUCCCGCAACGAGCGCAACCCUUAUCCUUUGUUGCCAGCGGUUCGGCCGGGAACUCAAAGGAGACUGCCAGUGAUAAACUGGAGGAAGGUGGGGAUGACGUCAAGUCAUCAUGGCCCUUACGAGUAGGGCUACACACGUGCUACAAUGGCAUAUACAAAGAGAAGCGACCUCGCGAGAGCAAGCGGACCUCAUAAAGUAUGUCGUAGUCCGGAUUGGAGUCUGCAACUCGACUCCAUGAAGUCGGAAUCGCUAGUAAUCGUAGAUCAGAAUGCUACGGUGAAUACGUUCCCGGGCCUUGUACACACCGCCCGUCACACCAUGGGAGUGGGUUGCAAAAGAAGUAGGUAGCUUAACCUUCGGGAGGGCGCUUACCACUUUGUGAUUCAUGACUGGGGUGAAGUCGUAACAAGGUAACC
rnacentral:rRNA from 1 species